AUGGCUUAAUGCUGUGUCUGCACUUCUUCUGGCAACCCUGGGUAUGAAUGUUCCAACUUCAUUUUGCCUGUCAAGAAAAAUGAGUAAAACAAGGAUGAUGGAAGCAUCUAGGAAAGACUCCAGGUGGGAAAUCUCGGGGAAGAUGCUGGAAAUCCAACUCCACAUUUGGCAGCUGUCCCAGGGCUCAAUCAGGCUGGUAUCACACACAGCUUGUUGAUUUUGCUGCAGACUUUGCUCUGAGCUGCACAGAGGUUUCCAGGACUACCUUUCACGUGAUCAUCUUCGACUGAAGGCUGCAAAGGAAUGGGCGCUCGCUUAUGGCUCACCAAAAAUCAAUGGCUCACCUGGCAGCAAAAACAGCGGUUCACCUAUUUUAAGAUCAUUUCUCAGCAAACCCGAGUGAUGCUGAAGGAGCGUGACAAGAAGAAUGAGCUGCUUCUGAACGGCGAUGUUGGAGGACGGAUCCUGCGCAGCAGCCUCACUGAAACAGCAAAUGAAGCAGAUGUUUUCCAUUACUGCCCACUAUUGAGGUCCUAGUGUUUCCUCCUCACUAACCACACGCUGGAAGCAGCGACCAUGCAUCAUCUUCUCCUCUACUAACGGGCACUCAACGCCUGAAGCUCUCUGCUGUUCCCUACUUGGUGAAUUAUCAAGGAAGUUAUUGAUUAAUGAUCCUUUAAGAAGUCCACUUCUACAAGCAGGGUUGUUACUACGAGCACAGCACUAAGACUUCCACUGCAGCAGCAAUUUCAGUCCCAGCCACCUGUCUGAUCGCCUGGCCCAAAGCCAUUCACUUCUGCUCCGCUCUUGCU